AUCAAUAAUUGUUAUAUUGGGAAGAUUGCAAUGCUAGCCAAGUCAAGGGAAGAUCUGGACCACUUACAUAGGAUCUGUGUUACUGAGAUGAUACUAAGAACUGCUAAGAAGAGAUUCGGGAAGCUUUUAUUAACAACUCCUUGAACCGUGUGUCAGCCAAUGUGGCUUAUUUACUCAACUGUUUACUAACUGAUACUGAAGAAAUUGUUUCUGAUGAAGUUGCUGCUACAAAAAAGAAGUCCAAGAAGAAGGGUGAAGGAGGAAGUGGUGGUGGUGGUGCUAGUGGUCCAGUCACUAAAACUACAUCUGCUGGAAAAGACUUGUCUCAAGGAAAGUUAUGGAAACUGUUAGUGGAAGAUGUACUUCAGCAUUUCCU